GACGAACGCUGGCGGCGUGCUUAACACAUGCAAGUCGAACGGAAAGGCCCCUUUGGGGGUACUCGAGUGGCGAACGGGUGAGUAACACGUGAGUAACCUGCCCUUGACUUCGGGAUAACUUCAGUAAACUGGGGCUAAUACCGGAUAGGAAUCCUUGCUGCAUGGUGGGGGUUGGAAAGCUUCGGCGGUUUUGGAUGGACUCGCGGCUUAUCAGCUUGUUGGUGGGGUAGUGGCUUACCAAGGCUUUGACGGGUAGCCGGCCUGAGAGGGCGACCGGCCACAUUGGGACUGAGAUACGGCCCAGACUCCUACGGGAGGCAGCAGUGGGGAAUAUUGAACAAUGGGCGGAAGCCUGAUGCAGCAACGCCGCGGGCGGGAUGACGGCCUUCGGGUUGUAGACCGCAUUCAGCAGGGGCGAAGCUUGUGGUGACGGUACCUGCAGAAGAAGCACCGGCUAACUACGUG
rnacentral:rRNA from 1 species